CAAUAGCGUAUAUUUAAGUUGUUGCAGUUAAAAAGCUCGUAGUUGGAUUUCGGUUAAGAGCGACCGGUCCGCCGUUUGGUGUGCACUGGUUGGUUUUAACUUCCUGUAGAGGACGUGCUCUGGGUUUAACGACCUGGACUCGGAGUCUACGUGGUUACUUUGAAAAAAUUAGAGUGUUCAAAGCGGGCUUACGCUUGAAUAUUUCAGCAUGGAAUAACACUAUAGGACUCCUGUCCUAUUUCGUUGGUCUCGGGACGGGAGUAAUGAUUAAGAGGAACAGUUGGGGGCAUUCGUAUUUCCUUGUCAGAGGUGAAAUUCUUGGAUUUAUGAAAGACGAACUUCUGCGAAAGCAUUUGCCAAGGAUGUUUUCAUUAA
rnacentral:rRNA from 1 species